CAGGCCUAACACAUGCAAGUCGAACCUUUACAGGAAGAAGCUUGCUUCUUUGCUGACGAGUGGCGGACGGGUGAGUAAUGUCUGGGAAACUGCCUGAUGGAGUGUGAUAACUACUGGAAACGGUAGCUAAUACCGCAUAACGUCGCAAGACCAAAGAGGGGGACCUUCGGGCCUCUUGCCAUCGGAUGUGCCCAGAUGGGAUUAGCUAGUAGGUGGGGUAAAGGCUCACCUAGGCGACGAUCCCUAGCUGGUCUGAGAGGAUGACCAGCCACACUGGAACUGAGACACGGUCCAGACUCCUACGGGAGGCAGCAGUGGGGAAUAUUGCACAAUGGGCGCAAGCCUGAUGCAGCCAUGCCGCGUGUAUGAAGAAGGCCUUCGGGUUGUAAAGUACUUUCAGCGGGGAGGAAGGGAGUAAAGUUAAUACCUUUGCUCAUUGACGUUACCCGCAGAAGAAGCACCGGCUAACUCCGUGCCAGCAGCCGCGGUAAUACGGAGGGUGCAAGCGUUAAUCGGAAUUACUGGGCGUAAAGCGCACGCAGGCGGUUUGUUAAGUCAGAUGUGAAAUCCCCGGGCUCAACCUGGGAACUGCAUCUGAUACUGGCAAGCUUGAGUCUCGUAGAGGGGGGUAGAAUUCCAGGUGUAGCGGUGAAAUGCGUAGAGAUCUGGAGGAAUACCGGUGGCGAAGGCGGCCCCCUGGACGAAGACUGACGCUCAGGUGCGAAAGCGUGGGGAGCAAACAGGAUUAGAUUCCCUGGUAGUCCCCGCCGUAAACGAUGUCGACUUGGAGGUUGUGCCCUUGAGGCGUGGCUUCCGGAGCUAACGCGUUAAGUCGACCGCCUGGGGAGUACGGCCGCAAGGUUAAAACUCAAAUGAAUUGACGGGGGCCCGCACAAGCGGUGGAGCAUGUGGUUUAAUUCGAUGCAACGCGAAGAACCUUACCUGGUCUUGACAUCCACAGAACUUUCCAGAGAUGGAUUGGUGCCUUCGGGAACUGUGAGACAGGUGCUGCAUGGCUGUCGUCAGCUCGUGUUGUGAAAUGUUGGGUUAAGUCCCGCAACGAGCGCAACCCUUAUCCUUUGUUGCCAGCGGUCCGGCCGGGAACUCAAAGGAGACUGCCAGUGAUAAACUGGAGGAAGGUGGGGAUGACGUCAAGUCAUCAUGGCCCUUACGACCAGGGCUACACACGUGCUACAAUGGCGCAUACAAAGAGAAGCGUC
rnacentral:rRNA from 1 species